GACGAACGCUGGCGGCGUGCUUAACACAUGCAAGUCGAACGGGCCCGCUCUCUUUUUUGGGGGUGGGUUGAGUGGCGAACGGGUGAGUAUCACUGGAGUAACCUGCCCCCUGCUCCUGGAUAACUGCUUGAAAGGGCGGCUAAUACGGGGUGUGCCGGCUGGUCCGCAUGGGCCUGGUCGGGAUAGUUUCAUCUUCGGGUGUUUCGGUGGGUGAUGGGCUCGCGGCCUAUCAGCUUGUUGGUGGGGUGAUGGCCCACCAAGGCGGUGACGGGUAGCCGGCGUGAGAGGGUGGGCGGCCAGACGGGGACUGAGACACGGCCCAGACUCCGGAGGGAGGCAGCAGGGGGGGGUAUCGCAGAAUGGGCGGAAGCCUGAUGCAGCGACGGCGCGUGAGGGAUGGAGGCCGUCGGGUUGUGAACCUUUUUGUCCGGUGGCGAAGGCCCUGUCCGUUGCGGCGGGGUUGACGGUAGCCGGGGAUGAAGCGCCGGCUAACUACGUG
rnacentral:rRNA from 1 species